rnacentral:rRNA from 1 species
GACGUAGGGCGCGAGCGUUGUCCGGAAUUAUUGGGCGUAAAGCGCACGUAGGCGGCUUAGCAAGUCGGAUGUGAAAUCCCUCGGCUCAACCAAGGAAGUGCAUCCGAAACUGCUGAGCUUGAGUACGAAAGAGGAUCGCGGAAUUCCCGGUGUAGAGGUGAAAUUCGUAGAUAUCGGGAGGAACACCAGUGGCGAAGGCGGCGAUCUGGGUCGAUACUGACGCUGAGGUGCGAAAGCGUGGGGAGCAAACAGG